rnacentral:rRNA from 1 species
GACGAACGCUGGCGGCGUGCCUAAUACAUGCAAGUCGAACGAAAAGGCCCUGCUCUUGCGCCUUUCUCGAGUGCCGCACACGUGUGAAUCACGCGUGUAACCUCUCCCUUUCAUUGGGAUAAAACCUGGGGAAACGGGCGCUAAUCCCGUAUAACCUCUUUCUGCAUAUUGUUGGUUUGUGAAAUUCGGCGGUGGGGGACGGACUCGCGGCUUAUCAGCUUUUUGGUGAGGUAGUGGCGUACCAGGGCUCCGACGGGUAGCCGCCCUGGGAGGGUGACCGGGCACAAUGGGACUGAGAUAGGACCCAGACUGAAACGGGAGGCAGCGGUGGAAAGUAUUGCGAAAUAGGCGGAAGCCGGAUGCAACGACGCCGCGUGCGGGAUGACGGCCUGCGGGGUAUAAACCGCUUUGGAGUGUAACGAAGAGUGAGUGACGGUAAUGGGUAAGAAAGCAACGGCUAACUACGUG